rnacentral:rRNA from 1 species
UACGUAGGGUGCAAGCGUUGUCCGGAAUUAUUGGGCGUAAAGAGCUCGUAGGCGGUCUGUCGCGUCGGCUGUGAAAACCCGGAGCUCAACUCCGGGCCUGCAGUCGAUACGGGCAAACUGGAGUACUGCAGGGGAGACUGGAAUUCCUGGUGUAGCGGUGGAAUGCGCAGAUAUCAGGAGGAACACCAAUGGCGAAGGCAGAUCUCUGGGCCGUAACUGACGCUGAGGAGCGAAAGCAUGGGGGAGCGAACAGG